rfam:Triticum aestivum genome assembly, contig: Triticum_aestivum_CS42_TGACv1_scaffold_002902_1AL
CAACUACUCCCUCCGUUCCAAAUUAUUCGUCGCGGAAAUGAAUGUAUCUAGAACUAAAAUACAUUUAGAUACAUCCAUUUCUGCGGCGAGUAAUUCGGAACGGAAGGAGUAUCUC